UGCAAGUCGAACGGUGAAGUCCCAGCUUGCUGGGAUGGAUCAGUGGCGAACGGGUGAGUAACACGUGAGCAACCUGCCCUCCACUUCGGGAUAAGCCUUGGAAACGGGGUCUAAUACCGGAUAUGAGCCUGCAUCGCAUGGUGUGGGUUGGAAAGUUUUUCGGUGGGGGAUGGGCUCGCGGCCUAUCAGCUUGUUGGUGGGGUGAUGGCCUACCAAGGCGUCGACGGGUAGCCGGCCUGAGAGGGCGACCGGCCACACUGGGACUGAGACACGGCCCAGACUCCUACGGGAGGCAGCAGUGGGGAAUAUUGCACAAUGGGCGCAAGCCUGAUGCAGCGACGCCGCGUGAGGGAUGACGGCCUUCGGGUUGUAAACCUCUUUCAGCAGGGAAGAAGCGCAAGUGACGGUACCUGCAGAAGAAGCGCCGGCUAACUACGUGCCAGCAGCCGCGGUAAUACGUAGGGCGCAAGCGUUGUCCGGAAUUAUUGGGCGUAAAGAGCUCGUAGGCGGUCUGUCGCGUCUGGUGUGAAAUCCCGAGGCUCAACCUCGGGCUUGCAUCGGGUACGGGCAGACUAGAGUGCGGUAGGGGAGACUGGAAUUCCUGGUGUAGCGGUGGAAUGCGCAGAUAUCAGGAGGAACACCGAUGGCGAAGGCAGGUCUCUGGGCCGCAACUGACGCUGAGGAGCGAAAGCAUGGGGAGCGAACAGGAUUAGAUACCCUGGUAGUCCAUGCCGUAAACGUUGGGCACUAGGUGUGGGGCUCAUUCCACGAGUUCCGUGCCGCAGCUAACGCAUUAAGUGCCCCGCCUGGGGAGUACGGCCGCAAGGCUAAAACUCAAAGGAAUUGACGGGGGCCCGCACAAGCGGCGGAGCAUGCGGAUUAAUUCGAUGCAACGCGAAGAACCUUACCAAGGCUUGACAUGUACGAGAAAGCCCCCGAGAUGGGGUUCUCUUUGGACACUCGUACACAGGUGGUGCAUGGUUGUCGUCAGCUCGUGUCGUGAGAUGUUGGGUUAAGUCCCGCAACGAGCGCAACC
rnacentral:rRNA from 1 species